AAUUAAGGGGCUUGCUCCUUAAUUUAGUGGCGCACGGGUGAGUAACGCGUGGAUAAUCUGCCUGAUGAUCUGGGAUAACACUUCGAAAGGGGUGCUAAUACCGGAUAAGCCCACGGGAUCUUCGGAUUUUGCGGGAAAAGAGGGGGACCUUCGGGCCUCUUGUCAUCAGAUGAGUCCGCGUACCAUUAGCUAGUUGGCGGGGUAAAGGCCCACCAAGGCGACGAUGGUUAGCUGGUCUGAGAGGAUGAUCAGCCACACUGGAACUGAGACACGGUCCAGACUCCUACGGGAGGCAGCAGUGGGGAAUUUUGCGCAAUGGGGGAAACCCUGACGCAGCAACGCCGCGUGAGUGAUGAAGGCCUUCGGGUCGUAAAGCUCUGUCUAGAGGAAAGAAAUGUUUGGAGGCUAAUACCCUUUGAACUUGACGGUACCUCUGAAGGAAGCACCGGCUAACUCCGUG
rnacentral:rRNA from 1 species